rnacentral:rRNA from 1 species
GAUGAACGCUGGCGGCGUGCCUAAUACAUGCAAGUCGGGCGAACGGACGAGAAGCUUGCUUCUCUGAUGUUAGCGGCGGACGGGUGAGUAACACGUGGAUAACCUACCUAUAAGACUGGGAUAACUUCGGGAAACCGGAGCUAAUACCGGAUAAUAUUUUGAACCGCAUGGUUCAAAAGUGAAAGACGGUCUUGCUGUCACUUAUAGAUGGAUCCGCGCUGCAUUAGCUAGUUGGUAAGGUAACGGCUUACCAAGGCAACGAUGCAUAGCCGACCUGAGAGGGUGAUCGGCCACACUGGAACUGAGACACGGUCCAGACUCCUACGGGAGGCAGCAGUAGGGAAUCUUCCGCAAUGGGCGAAAGCCUGACGGAGCAACGCCGCGUGAGUGAUGAAGGUCUUCGGAUCGUAAAACUCUGUUAUUAGGGAAGAACAUAUGUGUAAGUAACUGUGCACAUCUUGACGGCACCUAAUCAGAAAGCCACGGCUAACUACGUG